ACUUCCUAGUUAAACACUAACAAAAAUAUUUAAAAAAAUGUUUGUACCCUUGUACCCUUAUUCCACUGACAAGAAAAUACAGAAUGCUUGUAGGAACACAAUAAGAAUCGCCUUAAAACAAUACCUUGAAUCAUAUUGUGACUCCUUGAACGCUGACACUAAACUACAAAAUCUGUGCACUACUGUUUUUACAAUGUUACGUAAACAUACUGGUAAAAAAGGAAAUGAUAUCAGUAAUAGAUAACGAUACACAAUUGACUCUACCAAGCAAAAAACUGAUUGAUAAUAAUCUCACAAGCUAAGUACAUUCAGUAGCAGAAGUUAUUAUAAUGAAGAAUUAAAAAAUACAAAGAUCAUACUUAAAAUUUAACUUACCAGAGCUGAAAGAUGCGGUAAAUGAUACAAAUGACAUUUUGCAUGGUACCUAGGUUAUACAAUGUUCAGACAUUUGUAAAACUAGUCUCUUGGAAUUGAACUCCCAUUAAUGAUGAGAUAUAAUUUCCAUGCAAAUUCCUUUUCAUUGCACUCUAAAACUUUAUACCAAAAAUCCUAAUGAUCCUCGAUCAUACCACCGAAUCGCACUUACAUCCAACUGAAAUACAAUAAUGUUGAAAAUGGUUAAAAAUAGACUUAAAUGGUAUCUAGAUAAACUAUUUCUUUUUCAAAACCAAAACGGUUAAUUAAAUUGAAACGGAAGCAUGAUGGAACAAAAUAUGCCAUAGGAUAAUAAUAUUUGAAAAACUAAACUAGUCACAUUAGGUUAUUCAUAAACUCCCGAAAAGCAUUCGAUAUGUUUUGGAAGCAUGUACUUGAAAAAAAGCAACAAGUGUCUAUAUUAAUGUUGCUGUUAUUCAUCACAAAGCAUUUGCAACGUGACAUAUUGUGAAUACGGAAGAAGAUAAAAGGAGGAUAAACGAAUAUACUUGUAAACUUAUAUAUCACUGUUGUCUUUAAAAUGUAUAAUUAAAAUAUUUCAUUUUUCUCUAUCUGUUUGUUUAUUUCAUUCAUUUAACUCUCUGUUUCAUCAUACUCAUUAUGACGUUUGACUGAGACUAACGACAGUUCUAAUACACGUCACUACACACAUGAAUGCGUCAACUAAAAUAACGCGGGAAAAUUACUACGCCUUAUAAAUAUAUAUUGUUGUUUUUUAUUUCAUGAACUGGUUAACCGGCUUACUAAGCGUACGCUUUAAAGUUGAAACAUUAUUUAGAGGUAAGCAAAAGAAAAUGUACAAAUGAAAGAGCAAUGGAACUUUCAUCCAUGAUGACAGAAGACAAAAGACCGGAUACUGAAGUGGAUGAAAGAAGAAAACAGAAAUAUGUUCGUUACAAACAAAACCAGUCUUUGAAAGACAUAAAUGUUUUACAACUUAUACUAAAGCAAAAAGAUAAACAUCUUCACUUAUUGCAAAAAGAAAACUGCUUACUCCAAGAUCGUUUAAACAAGCAAACAAUAGCACUCCUAGGAGAAAUAAAAGAGAGAGAUAAUAAUUGAAAAUCUUAUAUGCCUUCACAACAAAAUUAAAGAAUUCGACAAGUUCCAAGACAUGAUAAAGGAAAAUAUCCAAGUUGGGUUGAAUGUAAAGCUAGAUACAGUCAUAGGCGAGAUGGAAGUCAUGCGUUCUGCAAUAGAUGACCUGUUGGUUGAAGCAAGACAAAAAAGCAACAGUAUUUCAGAUACUAAAAAUGUUACCUUAAACAUUAUUAAGCAGAAAGGAAUUUUGCAGAUUUCUACCGAGGAUUAACUUUCCAUAGCAAAACAAAAAUGUUUUUCUUUUUUUUACUUUUAAUGUAAUCAAGACAAACGAAACUGCUACAAUGUGUACAGUAUAAAACUAAAUAGUAUAUAUAUAGACUAAUUACUGUAAAAAAUCUAGUGUCCUUUAUACAGAGUUUCAUUCAUUCUUCAUAAAACGGAAAUUUUUACAAUGUCUUCAAUAAACAGCGAUUUGCUGUAACAUGUUUUUUUUUAUGGAAACUGUAGCAACAUUUACUGAGUGUAUUUUCAUUUGGGAUAAAAACACAUUGUUUUACACAUUUGACCGUGAUUUGUACUAUGGAAGUAAUAUAUUUACAAUAAAAUACGUCCAAGGUU